UACGUAGGGUGCGAGCGUUAAUCGGAAUUACUGGGCGUAAAGUGUGCGCAGGCGGCCGCGCAAGUCGAGUGUGAAAUCCCCGAGCUUAACUUGGGAAUUGCGCUCGAAACUACGUGGCUGGAGUGUGGCAGAGGAAGGUGGAAUUCCACGUGUAGCGGUGAAAUGCGCAGAUAUCAGGAGGAACACCGGUGGCGAAGGCGGGUCUCUGGGCCGAUACUGACGCUGAGGAGCGAAAGCGUGGGGGAGCAAACAGG
rnacentral:rRNA from 1 species